UAGGGAAUCUUCCACAAUGGACGCAAGUCUGAUGGAGCAACGCCGCGUGAGUGAAGAAGGUUUUCGGACCGUAAAGCUCUGUUGUUGGUGAAGAAGGAUAGAGGUAGUAACUGGCCUUUAUUUGACGGUAAUCAACCAGAAAGUCACGGCUAACUACGUGCCAGCAGCCGCGGUAAUACGUAGGUGGCAAGCGUUGUCCGGAUUUAUUGGGCGUAAAGCGAGCGCAGGCGGAAGAAUAAGUCUGAUGUGAAAGCCCCCGGCUUAACCGAGGAAUUGCAUCGGAAACUGUUUUUCUUGAGUGCAGAAGAGGAGAGUAGAACUCCAUGUGUAGCGGUGGAAUGCGUAGAUAUAUGGAAGAAUACCAGUGGCGAAGGCGGCUCUCUGGUCUGCAACUGACGCUGAGGCUCGAAAGCAUGGUAGNGAACAGGAUUAGAU
rnacentral:rRNA from 1 species